rnacentral:lncRNA from 1 species
ACCCUCCACAAAUUCUCAUCAAAAGCACGCAUCCAAUAGACAGCAACAGCAGAGAGCAGCCAAACUGCAGCAGCAAGUGUAAGUGUAAGUGUGUGUUAUAAGUUAAUUAGAAACAACUAAGAACAAGAACAACUCUUGCAUAAGAACAGUAGUAAGUAAUGCAUAAGCAAUUUCACUGGUUUAUUUUUUUGGCCCCAAAAUACUAGCCCCACUCUUGCAGGUACCCAACUCAGCACAAAAAAAAUUUAAUAGCCCUACAAUAUUAUAUCUUACUAAAUACUAUAGUCAAGAGCACCUACGCACACCAUCAGCAGACUAGAGAAUGACCGAAAUACCCUCUAAACAAACAUUAGAGGGCUGUUUCGGAAAUUCACCAGUCUGUUGACGGGACU